AUCUUAACGGACAGGUGAUAUAAAAUUUAGUUAGAAGUAAAGAAAACGAAUGAAAAUUUGAAUGUAUGGUUUAUUUAUGAUUGAUGAAAACAAGCCGAAACUUCCACCACAUAUAAAAAGCAUCUGGGAUUGAAUUGAAAAACAAUAAAUAAACAUUAUUUUAUGCUCAUCAAUGAUAUUUCUGGAAUAAAUUUCGCUUUAUCUUAUACCGUUUAAAAGAGUGGUAAGAAAACGGUCCAAAGAUGACAUCUACAAAAUAUUCAUCCCAACGUUUCCUAAAAUAGGAAAAGUAUAAUGAUUAUAACUGCUAUACUAUAAAAGCAUUACUUGUUUGGUUUCUUAAUAUUACUCGGUGAUACUCAUUCAAGGGCUUCCAGCUUUAUGGAAUUUGUAACAUCGGCCGUUCUCCAUAUUUUCAAAUGGAGAUUAUUUAACAUAAUAAGUUAGUUACCGUGAGAGAAUUAUGUUUUUUUCUGUGAUUCUGUCAACAAACCUUUAAAAAAAAAUUUUUUCUUACCAAAAAUGCGUACGGAAAAACGCAAUUAUCACUCUUGACUAUCACUAUUGACCGAGCACAAUUUUGAAUGAAUUUGGAAGAACUAGGCGAUCUACAAGUUGUUCAAGGAAGAAUUUGGUCAACCUAACUUUCAACCAAAUAGGUUUGGUAUCUAUCGUAAUAGAAUUUAAAUAAUUUUUUUUCGAAUUUUAUCGUUCAGUUAGAUUUUAUUAUACCAAUUCCAAUGAAAAUGACGAAUAAUUUUAAGAAUCGUUUUAUGGAAAUAGAAAUUGUGUGGAUUUUACUGAAAGGAAAGCCUAAGAAAUAAUUUUCAAGAAUUAUUAUGCUCCAAUGCGCUCAAUCCCAAGUAUCAAGCAAUCUUUAGUAAGGUAAUGAAGUAGCAGUAUAAUAAUGGCUAAAGAUCACUUCGAAAGAUGCUAUAUUAAAUUGUC